rnacentral:rRNA from 1 species
GACGAACGCUGGCGGCGUGCUUAACACAUGCCAGUCGAACGGUGAAGCUCCAGCUUGCUGGAGUGGAUCAGUGGCGAACGGGUGAGUAACACGUGAGCAACCUGCCCCAGACUCUGGAAUAAGCGCUGGAAACGGCGUCUAAUACUGGAUACGAGAUCAAGCCGCAUGGUUAUGGUCUGGAAAGUUUUUCGGUUUGGGAUGGGCUCGCGGCCUAUCAGCUUGUUGGUGAGGUAAUGGCUCACCAAGGCGACGACGGGUAGCCGGCCUGAGAGGGCGACCGGCCACACUGGGACUGAGACGCGGCCCAGACUCCUACGGGAGGCAGCAGUGGGGAAUAUUGCACAAUGGGCGAAAGCCUGAUGCAGCGACGCCGCGUGAGGGAUGACGGCCUUCGGGUUGUAAACCUCUUUCAGCAGGGAAGAAGCGAAAGUGACGGUACCUGCAGAAGAAGCACCGGCUAACUACGUG